AUUAUGGGGUGAACCUAGUGAGGUAUGUUGUACAAAUUUAUAACAAAAUACAAGUGAUUAUGCUGGACUCUUAUUACUUAUCAUUGUGAUGGAUAGCUGGAAUAAGCUGGAUCACUAUCCACUGAUUUUCCUACUAGUAAUGUGAAACAUAGGAAAGACUGUGCCAUGUGUUUUGACUAGUGUGCAAAUUGGGGAAGGUUUCAUUUGUUAUUUGGUGUUAAGUGCAAGUUUCAGCUCUAGAAUAUUAAAGAAUUAGGCAAAUUUUAUUUGUUAUUUGGUGUUAAGUUCAAGUUUACUCUUGAAUAUUAAAGAAAUGGGCA
rnacentral:misc_RNA from 1 species